UUCUCCUUGAUGGAACUUCUGUUUUUGUUUCUCUAUCAUCUAGCCUUUACUUAUCCAGGUCAGGUUGUUCUACAAUGGUUGUGCUGUGAAGGGUACCUUGCUUGUCAAUAAAAAGGUCAGUCAUCAUCCAAUGAUUGUUGCAUGCCACCGUGAAGGUAGAGGACGGAAAUUUUGGGAAGACCGUAAUCUGAAAAGCAAAUUUUGGGGUCGUUCAAUCCAGCUUGAUCCUGUUGGUUUUCUAACUCUCGAGUUUGAUGAUGGUGAAGUUUUUCAGUGGAGCAAGGUCACAACUUUUGUGUUCCACCAAUCGCCAAAACUUGGACUGUUCCCUUUCAGGAGAUAAUUGAUAUGGAUGAUGGAAUAUAUGAAGAAGCUGUUGUAGGAAGUGACUUUGUCAUUACUAGAGUUGCAUUUCGAGACAACUCUUCAAAGUACUACAUAAAUGACUGUGGAAGUAAUUUUACAGAGGUCACUAAGAAAUUGAAAGGAAAAGGAGUGGACUUGGACAAUUGUAAUUUUAGCAUUAUUGUAAUUGUAAUUGUAAUUGAAU